UGGAUCGUUGGUGUUGUGGUCUUGGAGAUGAUUGUAGGAACUCCUUAUGUUUUCCAAUUGAGUCAUCGGUCAUAUGCAGUUCUAAUUCUGCAGUCUGAUAGCUUGCAUGAAGAUGAGAUGAAUCUUCUAUUCAGCGUUCCAAAUGAUUUGGCUUUGCAGUUGGUGCGCAGACUUUUGACAUGGGCUCCGGAGGACUGGUUGAGUGUAUCUGAUGCUUUGGAGCAUCCAUAUUUCCAAUCUCUGCUCUGAAGAUGAGCACCGGAGAGUUAUCAAUACAUAAAAAUAAAAGAAAAAACAAUGAAAAAUGUCUAUUGGUAGUGUAUAGUUAGCUGGCCUCUUGCCAAUAUCAUUGUAGUUAAUUGUUUGUAAUUGUUGUAUUACUCGAAAACAAAAGAGUACAAAAUCAAUAGAAAGAAAC